GUGUAAGAAUGGGAGACAAAAGUUACACAGUACAUUUAAUAUAAGACCCUAUUAUAUAAAAUCACAUGUUUAAAAAAGCCUAACAAACUGACUGCUGCAGAGUUGGGGCAACCUGAACUCCUUUAAAUAACAGGUAACUCUACCAAGCAACUCUUGUUUUAGAAAAGUGGUGGUGUUGGUUUUGUUUGUUUGUUUGUUUUAAACUUCUCUGGUAUUUUGUGUUAUUAGGCGUAAGGCCAAAAAGUUCAUGACCAACCUACUCUGAUUCUCCCAUAUGACAGAUCAAAUAAGUUUAUUCAGUUACUCCUGUUUGAGAUCCUAUGCUGUGUAUGGCUGAAUCUUGUAAAAAGAAAAAAAGCUGCAUUUGAAGCUAUCAAGAAAUUCAAGCGCUUUCUUUCAAUUCCAUUCUAAAAGUCAACUUCUGCUACUGGAAGUUAGGAAUGAAGUGCAGAUCUAAAUAUCCUUUCCAGUUAUCCCCUUCUUCACAAUGUUAAAAGCUUUGCUAAUAUUAGGCUCUUCCUCUACAGACACUCAAAUACAACAGUUUAAUUGUUUCCUGAUUUUCUUUUCCAUCCUUUUUGUCCAGGCACGCAGUUUUGAAUCACUGAAGUUGUGCUUCCUCAGCUGUGGUAUGCAAAAUCACUUCCAAUGGCAAUGGAUGUUCAGCAGUAAAGCUCAAUUCCAAUUACAAAGUGGUUAGAUAUUAGAGAUGGGGGCAUUUGCCUUCAGGUCUCAUAAAAGCCCCUAAAAGUGGAGCUGCUGGCACAGAGGAGUACUGCUUCACAAUCUGCAGAGUUUUCUCCAUGAAAGCCAGGAUGAUGAAGGGCACUGAGAGAGGCAGCAGCACAGAUCCUGCAGUCCUUGAGGGCAGAGCUGCUCCAGGAAAUGAUUAAAACUUCUGUUGGGAAACCAGAAAAAAGGCAACACUGUGUUUCAGUGACAGUUUUGCUUCCUGCACUGCUUUGUUUUUAACUGAUUUGAAGUAAAGAAGACAACCUUCAUCAAAUAAUUAUGUGGGGAGCGGACAGGAAAGCACAGCUAAGGAUUUUCUCACUAGUCUUAAAAAUUUUCUAAGCUCUGGGCUAAACUGACAUUUCCACAAACAAAGAAAAGUUUAUUUCCUAACAGAACUACAAAUUCAAUUGUAAUCAACAUAUGAAAGUAAGACAUCAUAAACACAAGUGUGCCAACAAUGGAGAGGCUGCAAUAAAACUCACUGUCAGGGAGACAGGAAAAGAAGAAAAAUGGAAAAGAAGCCAGGAAAGAGGAGGUGGAGACCUUUUUCUGGCACACUCACUGUUGUACACUUGCCAAAGGAGGCAGCUAUUUUGAUCACACAGUAGGUGAGAGCACAAGAAUACGAAAAGGAUCCUAACUCUCAUAAAUGCAAGAGGAUAACAGACGGUCCCAAAUAAGGAUGAAAACACCAUUAUUUAUCACAAGGAAAAGUACAGCAGCAUCUGAAUUGACUGAGAGUCAGUUGUGUGCUGGAAUCUGAAGAGCUGGAACAGAAAACCAAACUGUGGUCUGUAAAGUGUUUGCCUGCUGUCUGGUAAGAGCAGACAGCCUUGCAGGUGCUCACUGGACCCACACUGCACGGAAAACACACUGUUGUUAAAAUGGUGGGGUGAAAACUCAGUUGCAGCUGGAGUACAUACCAUACAAGUACCAGGAGAGCAUUCUUAGACACAAGAACAUGAAAAAAGAGACAGCAGCACAAUGAGAAUCCUGGAAUGAACAGCUGAAGGAGGAACCCACCCACCCGUGGCUGCAUCUGCUGGCAUUUCAGCAUGUAGAACAAGGACAGCUUUAAAUAGCAGUAGAGAGAACAAAACCUCGUGUGAUCAGCAUGUGCUCCUGAAUCAGAUACUGCACAGCACUUUGCUACAAACAGGAUUAUCAGUGGGGCAGAGCAUCAACAAACAUUCAAGUCAGCAAGCGAAUACUUAUCAUCUAAUGUAUGCGGUAUCAAAACCACACAUCUCUCACAAAACCCUACAGUUUGAGAAGUGCUAGUUCCCAAGAAAUCAUAUCGACUGGCACUAAUUACAGCUUUUAUCACCUGAGAAAAGUUACCAAAAAACACUGAUCUCAGAAAUACCCUUCUUCAAACAUUCACACAUAUCUAUUAGUCAUAUUUUACAGGUAAGAAAAUUAUCUAUGAAAUUGUGAAUGAAUAAAUACUUCUGUAUCUAACAAAUACGGGACAAAAACAUUCUCUGUAUUAAAUCUUUUAAGCACUGCAGUGCUUGAUGAGAUGAUGUUCUUCUGUUUACAUCCUAAAAUAACCUUCAGCAAAAGUGAUGCAUUUUCAGCUAUUAUAUUUGCUGUUCAAGUAAUGAAUUUACAGUAAUGAUGAAAAACCCAAAUCCAGAACAGUGAAGCACAGCUCUCUAAAUAAAUUCUUUACUUUUUUGCCCUUACACAUCCAGGCCAGCAUAAAUACAAUUCAUAAUGAAGAAAGAGACAACAUCUACUCAGGAGAUCACAAAUGAUUUCUACUAAGAACACUUGAAAAAACUGAAUGGGCUUGGAAAGUAGGGAGCUUUUUUUAAGAUGCAUCACAUCUUUAGAAGGCUUCCAGGGAAACACAACAAAUCAACAACUGAAUAUAGUGAGCCCCUUGAAUUCCAUUUUAUUAAUCUUGCCUGGGGACAAAAGCUACAGAUAAGUUUCUAUUUAAAAAAGGAUACACGCUGCAACUUUAUUUAUGGCUUAUGGCUUCAGACAUCCAAACACUUUUCUGCUUAUGUAUGUUUGCAAGUGUACAUAGACAUAGCAGAAAGCCAGCUUUGACCUAAUUCUCACCUUACUCAGAUCUGUAUUUAGAAGUUGCAGAAUGAUGUGAAGGCUGGGAGAUGAGAGCACUGCCACCUUGUGCCAGCAAAAUCAAAUCUGAAGCCUAACAAAUAAGACUACAAACUAAAACUAAUCCCAGAACAUGUUCUGCCUUUGAAGUCUGACUGUUAUUUGAGAUCAGAUGCUUGAUACUGAAUUAUGAAAAGGUGCAGUGGUAUAAGGCUUUAGGAACAUCUUAAACCAAUUAUUUAAACAAAAUCAGCAUGUCUCGCAGCAGUUACUCUUAUUAGACUUGCCAUUACAACAUCCCAGGUUUAAUCACUCAUACCUAUCAUAACAUUCAAUCUCUAAAGUUGAGAGCUUUGCAAAUAGCUAUCUUCUGACCUUCUGGUUUCAUUUUGUUAUGGGCCAGGCUAUUUAUUUAUUUAUUUAAAGUUACACUGGGCCACACACAAUUGUGGAUUGACAUUUAUACAGGAAAUGCUAAGUCACAGCCUGAAGCAGAGACUGAGCACCUGGUAGGAAGGCAGGGCCAAACCAGAGGAGCACAGAUGUAAGCAAUGCACCUGAGUAAUCAGAAGGGGUUGAGCCAGGAUCCACUCUUUCCCAGACCUCAUUUAAGGGCUGGCAGAGGAGGUGAGAGCAUCUCUUGUAGAUCCUACCUACCUGAGGCCUUCCAAGGUAAGCAGCUCUUUUUCUGCAUUUCUGCAGCUGCUGUGUUUGGGCUCACAUGCUGUAGCCAAAGACUUUCCCACCCUGUUAUUAUCACUGUACUUUCCAUCCCAUUAUCACAUUAUAAUGUAUGAAGCUCUCUUUUGAAAUGCUUUCAUACAGCCAUGCUGUAAGAAAAGGGAUGUACAGUUUUUACUGUGUACGUAUUUAAAUACCUGAGUCAAGAUAAACUUUAGAAAGCUGUGAAGAAUUCUGAAGAUACUUAUAUAUACCUACAGUCUAUGGGGGGUGGGAGAGAAAAUCCUCUCAGCAGUUCAUUCUUAUUUAAAGUACAAAUACUAUAUUGAGCUUUAAAUAAUAAUGUGGAAGACCUGGACUUUAUUCUGUUUACUUACUGAUUAAAAUACAGCCUACUCAGUGAUGUUUCCAUGAAUUUCCUUCACAAGACGUAUUAAUACAAGCAAUAAAAACAAAAUAGUAGU